GAUAUUUUCUCUUGAAUUAAUUUCUCCUGCAAGAAUGGACCGAGAUAAAGACAGCACUGCGCCACAUGGCAAAAAGUUUGGAAUAAAAGUGAAGAAGAAACACAGGAAAGGACACAAGGGUGUUGUAAUCGCAAACAAAAAUGCUUUAGAGGCUGAGCCUGAAACUAAUCCUGGCGAUCCAGACGUGGUAAACGUACCCCAGCCUGGACCCUCUGAAGCGUCCACCUCUGCACCCGCUUCCUUCAGACAUACUGCU